AAUCACAGUAGUAAGGAGAUACCUGAUUGGCGGUGUUGCUCUUAUAUCAUUCAGGGGCAAAGCAGACGUACAGUUCAUCCUAGCUUGAUGCCUGUGUUGGUGCCAGAGCUGUUUCAUGCCUGAGGCACAUAA